rnacentral:tRNA from 1 species
UCUAUUAUGGCAGAUUAGUGCAGUGAAUUUAAGCUUCACAUAUAAAGUUUAAACCUUUUUUUAGAA